rnacentral:misc_RNA from 1 species
GGCUGACGCUUGCCCUUUAGGCCGACUUGGUGAGCCUAAGGAUGUAAGUCAAGUUGUGGGAUUCUUGGCUAGUGAUGCAGGGCAGUGGAUCAAUGGACAAGUCAUUAGGGUUAAUGGGGGAUCCGUUAUCUAAAUGUUAUGUGUGUCUACUUAUCUGAGACUUGUACUUUCCUUUUAUAUGUUCUUGAAUUUGUUUCCCUCUGCCCCUAUUUGUACCUUUUUUUUUUAAUUUACC